AGAGAGAUUAAUAAACAAUCACGAGAUACAAUGAGAUAUUGCCAUACUUAUCGAGAAAUCGAUGAAGAGAAAUCCAACGUGAACGUGAAGUGAUAAAAAAAAAAGAGUCCGAAUUAGCAGAAUUGAAUCGAGGUUUACCUUGCAAUUUCCGUAUUUCUCUAUUUUUUAAAAAUUUUAAUAAAAUUCUGACAAACGUCGUCACACACAAACGUCAGCUGAUCUUAACGAGCGAUCGUGUUACGUGAUUCCUUCCGCUUUUGUAAUCGUCCGCAGUGACGUUAAAGCGACCGCCCGCACAACGGAUGUUCUUCAAGCCUGUAGUCUGUAUUCUCUUACGUUUUACAAGGUGAUUAGUGGUUAGCCAUGUCUGUCAUUUCGCGGCAAUCAUUCAUAGUACGAUCGCGGAUGUCAGUACUCAUGUACGUGACGGUGACAAAGUUCCAUCCGCGCGCGGCACUUUUAUCUUAUUUUUCUCGGUGCCAAAGUCCGCGCAUGGUAGACAUUAAUUAUAUUUUCCUACUUUGAGAUCUGGAAGGCCGACUUUGUCGCGCGACGGCAUUAUCUUAUCGCUAUUUUUCUGGAUCUCACAAUCAGCGAGAAGAAUAGUGAAGAGUACACUUACUUGGGGAACUGGUUGCUGUAACUGAGGAGGGUAACUUCACCCAAGCCGGAAGAGAGCGAUGUUAAGACGACGCCCAAAAUGGCAAGCCAUUCAGUAGUGCUCAACGACACCAUGAGAAAUCCUGCAGCGGAAAAUAACACACAGGCAUGGAAUCUUUACACCGGCAUCCAGAUAAGAGUUAAUUACAAAGGAAUUAUCGAGGAAUGUUAAUCGACGACAAAUUACGCAGUAAUUGUCACGAGAUAAUCACGCAAGAUCUAGAGGAGACUUGCGCGCGGUUUGCGUAAGGAAAAAAAGUGAGUCACGUGUCUCAUUUAAUUCAGUCAUCGCUGCAAUUAAAACUAACAAGAAUAAAACGCAUGUAGAUAUUCGUUUGCAGUUUGCUCACUAGCUUCGUUUCGAUCUCAACGAUCGCAGGAGAACGCCAGGAUAACGCGCGCAAGAAAGCGCACUCUCCGUAUCACGUGUGCUGAAAGAAAAGGAGAAAUGGAUACUCACUGCACUAGAAACGGCAAGAAAGGCGCCGUCAUCUUGAUCGCCAACGAUGGCAGGAUGUCUGCCAGAAGUAUAGCACCGGUCGAAACCGCAUUGCACGUACGAAUUCCUGAUGACACGAUAUUCAUGUUUUUUUCUCGAUCGGGGAAUCCGUCGAGCGAGACGUAAAUCAUUAAGCGUGACAGUUUUCCUGCUUUAAAAUGGGCGAAUUAUGUUACUAGACGAGUUAAUAAGUGUCAUUUUCGCGGAAGCAACUAUUUAUUGUUCGUUAUUAAGUCACGCAUCACGUAAUAGAUUAAUUCAAUGCAGAUCGAAGCGCGCAUUUUGCUCCCCUUCCAGCGCCGAUCUAUUUGCAACAUCGCCUAGAAAAUUUUCCACGGAAAUGCUUACGUAUUUCAUUAUCAGCGAUUAGUAUCGUAUAUUGAUAAAAACUUGAUACGUUACAUGCAGAGAAUUGAAAGCAGUAAUUUUUUACAAAGUUGAAUACCAGUUAAUUGACAUUUCGACCUAUGCGAGAAAUUCAAGAUAACCGAUUACGUCUAUCAAAUGUGCAGAUUUAAUUUUACUUUCGUGAGUCAUGUUUCUACAUUAAAAAUAGCAAAACGUGGACUGGUAUCUCCUUUUACUUUUUUUAUUGCUGAUAUAAUAAUUAAAUAAAUUAUUAGUUGUGAAACAAAUAUUUGGAUCAUCACAAUUGGCUAGUAAGUAUCGUAUUAUUUUAGAAACGAGGUCAGAAUAGUUAGUGCAGUAGAUUUUUAACGAUAUAUGAUAUAUAUGCGAUCUUUAUGCGCUUUGUGUUGUACUUUCGAAUCUGGCCUGAUAAACCUUGUGUGCGAUAAAACGUCGAUAAAAUAUCUUACGCGAGUUUUAUUAACGCAUUAUCGCAUUGUCGGAUAGAUUUUCAAGCUGAAAGGAAAUCGGUAUAGCUGUUGUAACAUAAUCUCUGGAUGGAAAUGCGAGAAUAUCAUUGUAAAUAUGACUGUAAAAAAUUGUUAAUAAAAAUUAUAUAAUUUUAUGUACACUGCAAA
rnacentral:lncRNA from 1 species